CUGGCAAGUACCUGGCUCCAGCACUCCAACAAGAGAACAUAGAUGUAAAUUGUCCACACAAUUCCCUUCUUGCCUUAGUUUCAAGGGGAUUCCAGGCAACUACUUGAAGACUGUGGGUGGCUGCAUACUCUGGAAGUCCUAUUGAAAGCUGAUGUGCUGGGCAGACUUCACUUGAGUACAGUGUUGAAGCUCCUCCCCCAUUGCAGAAUACCUUCUCAGUGAAUCUGAGCAUCUAGUCAGCCAUAUUGGAUCUCUCUUCUUUCAUCCUCUAAAAUCAAUGGAGAAAACCCAUGAAGAUCGCCCUAGACUGUCUUACCUAGCAUGUUUGAGGUCCUGAGUUCAAUCCCCAGUAUCAAAAAAGUAUCAAAAGAGACAAAUAUGCAGACAUCUAUAUAAUAAGUGAGUUACAAGAAACAUGGGAGAAGAGGAAAAGAGAAGGGAGAAAAGG
ensembl:lncRNA